rnacentral:rRNA from 1 species
UGGGGAAUUUUGGACAAUGGGCGAAAGCCUGAUCCAGCAAUGCCGCGUGUGUGAAGAAGGCCUUCGGGUUGUAAAGCACUUUUGUCCGGAAAGAAAUCCUUGGCUCUAAUACAGUCGGGGGAUGACGGUACCGGAAGAAUAAGCACCGGCUAACUACGUGCCAGCAGCCGCGGUAAUACGUAGGGUGCAAGCGUUAAUCGGAAUUACUGGGCGUAAAGCGUGCGCAGGCGGUUUGCUAAGACCGAUGUGAAAUCCCCGGGCUCAACCUGGGAACUGCAUGGUGACUGGCAGGCUAGAGUAUGGCAGAGGGGGGUAGAAUUCCACGUGUAGCAGUGAAAUGCGUAGAGAUGUGGAGGAAUACCGAUGGCGAAGGCAGCCCCCUGGGCCAAUACUGACGCUCAUGCACGAAAGCGUGGGGAGCAAACAGGAUUAGAUACCCUGGUAGUCCACGCCCUAAACGAUGUCAACUAGUUGUCGGGUCUUCAUUGACUUGGUAACGUAGCUAACGCGUGAAGUUGACCGCCUGGGGAGUACGGUCGCAAGAUUAAAACUCAAAUG